UCCCUCAAGGAUGAAGAGGUAUGCGACCCCAUAGCACCGGGAGGAGGAUGUCAGACUGGGGCCAGGGCUUCCCCCGGGACCCCCCAGGUCACCAUCAGGACUGAGUCUUUGCUUGACGCUAGACAAAUUUUCAAAUGGGAAAACAAGGCCCAGGAGGGAAAUGACCUUGCCCAAGGUCACACAGUGGCUGGAAGCAGAGUUGGGACAGGGCUCAUACGGAUCCUUUGUGAAAAUAAGUGAAUGGUGCCCCCUACUGGGCAGGCAAAUCUCCAUGGGCAAUUGGCUGGGUAAGUGGAACCAUGGCUGGAUUUCCAUCUCCAUUUGCCCCCUUAACAGGAGAACCUUUGUGCAGUGAACAACUUAUACAACCGUACACAGGAGCCCUGGCCUGCCUGAGUCUCAGGAUCCCAAACACUCCAUCUCAGUGACCUCUAGGCAGAUUUCUGGUGCCCUUCAUAACAAGAAUAUGGGGACGACCAAGGGUGAUUCCUGGGCUGUGGGUUCAUCCCUCACCUGAAGACCAGGGCCUGGGCAAGGCAAGGUGUCCUGUGAUCCUUCAGACCCAGCAGGGGCUGAGCAGACCCCAUCUAACGCCCAAAGUCACUUCUGUUGAUGAAAUCAGGAAUGUAACCAGUAGGGAGGAACAUACACAGGAGAACAGCAACGGCCUCGCCCAGAAGUCACAAGUCACCUGGCAGAAGGCAGCCUGCAGGGAGGCCCAAGUCCUCCUGGCUUUCUUCCCGAUCAUUCUCUGGCCCAGACUCUCUAGCCUACCCCUUAAGCCUUGCAGUCAGCAACUCCCAUCAUGCCCUGCUCUCCAGCCAGAGAGGUGGCCUCCAUGCCCUUUCACCCUCACCCAUCCUGCUCUCCGCUGCCAGAUGUCCCCUCUGCCCAGGAUGCUGCCUUCUCCAGGAGUCCCUCCCUGACCACUCCAGCCCAGAGAUAGGUCUUCUUCCUCCCACCUUCCAGCCCUCCCAGGCCAUACACACUGCCCACCUGGGCCUUGGGAUGGAGCUUAUGUUAUCAUCCUACUGGCCAUUUUUCAGUGAGCACUUACUGUGUGCCAGCCCUGGAGGGGCAGGGGCGGACAGGAUGGCCUGGAGUUAGGAGCACAGACUCGAACCAGAGGGCUCAGGUUGGAAUCCCAGCUUUUGCUUCUUACAAGCUGUGUUAUGACUCAACCCCUCCGUGCCCCAGGUCUAUAAGAUCGUGAUAAACACACUGCCCCUUAUAAAAACUUGGUAUGGUAUGUAAUUUACAACAGUAUUGAAUCACUGCGUUGUAUGCCUGAAACUAAUAUAACUGAUGAGUCAACUAAAUAACUUAAAAUAUCAUAAUUCCUGAAAAAAAGAAAAGAAAAAAA
rnacentral:lncRNA from 1 species